rnacentral:tRNA from 1 species
GUAGAUAUAGUUUAGCAAAAACAUUAGAUUGUGAUUCUGAAGAUAGGGGUUAAACUCCCCUUAUCCACC